CAAGGCGCAGUCAGCACGAGACGGCGGGAGGCGGCGAGCAGCGGGGAAAAUCGAUGCUCGUAGAGAGGCGGAGCGGCAUAGAAGCGGCAAGCCGGCUUGUGGAGUGGCGAUGAAGGCGGCCUGCGAGCUACGGCGGGUUGGGCCAAGGCGAGGUUCAGCAACGCAAGGCGGCUCAGAGGCGGCAAAAGGGCGCUGGCGAGAGGAGACUGCAGCCAUGGCCGAGGCGCGACUCGCGAUGGAGGCGGGCAGCUGGAGGCCGCUCCGGCGAGGGUAGCUCGGAGGCAGGCAACUUGGCACGGCCGUGGGAGUGGCGAUUCAGAGGUGUCUCGGGGCCGGCUCGAAAUGCGGGUCAGAAGUGGCGAGUCGUCGACUACGGCUUGGAAGCGAGGGCAAGGACAUUUUUGGAUGGGGCAACGACGGAGAUUUGCUGGCGCGACGGCUCGUGGAAGCGGCGGGUCAACGAGGUGACAAGGCCGCGGAAGAGGCAAAGCGCGGCUGCGGAGGCCGCUUUGAAGGCGGAACCAAGCGAGGGCGGCUCGAGGCCGCGUGGUCGCAAUGGCGGAGAGGCGAGUCAGCCACGGUCGUGGCUGCGGGGCGGCGGCUCGAGGUCGGCCGCGGCAGGGCGAGCUGCUUCGGAGGCGAUGGCAGCUCAAAGGCAACACUAGUGACCUCAAGGCAGGUUGUCCGCGUGUGGAGGUGAUGCAGGGCGGCUCAGAGGCCAUCACAGAGGAGCAGGGGCGACUGAAGUAUACCCGCGGCGGUGGCUUGUUGUCGGCCAGCCGUCGGAGGCGGGACCACGAGGUCAAGUGUGACGGCAGUUUGGUGGCAGAGGGCCGGAACCCGCGGGUGAGUGGUAGGAGGCCGAGCUUUGGGCGGGUGAUGUAGAACAGGGCGCGGCGAGCCAGCGGCGACUUGAAGAAGCCGCAGAGUUGAUGACUUGCGGUUGGGGGCGCGGCCGUUGACCCGGUGGCAGAGACGAAUAGCAGCAAUGGGUUGACGUACGGCGGUGGCGGCAGAAGCUCGUCAUACGGCGGCUUGAGACAGCUGUGGAAGCGGGACCGGCGACUCAGAGCGCCGGCUUAAAGGCGCGGCAAUGAGGGUGGAGCUCCGUCAGCAACUCAAAGGCGAGCGGCCGUCGAGGCGGCUCAAGGUGAUGGUGGCGGCUUGGCGCGGCCAUGGUGGCUUGAUGGUGUGGGCGGCUUAGAGGCAGCCCAGCGGCGGGUUGCUUGAGGCAGCGGCGGCUUGCAAGCGACAGGCGGGCGGCUUGCAACAAACAGAGAUUGCUCAACGAGGAGCGGCUCGGUGUGAGACACGUCCGCAGCGGCAAGACGACAUACUGGAGGCCAAGACCAGUUUGGGGUCACAACGGAGGUGGAUCAAGGCGGCAGUGAAUUGGUGAGGCAAGCCAUGGUGGCUGCGGGUCAGCAACGCAGGGCCGACAACACGGCGAGUCAUAGCAGUGUGGUUGAGGAUAAAUGCUUUUUCAUUUGCGUUCUGUUCACAGCGCGAAUCGCGUCCGUCUGCUCUCACUGGGAUCCACGCCGGCUGGUCCACCCAGGGCCCACUGCCAGCAGUCCUAUUUUUCUAUUUCACUCGGCUAUACGGCUGCAACACAGUCAAAUCGUAUCUACUUUAUUCCUACCUGAGCCUACUUCAGCCCGUGACUACUACCCCCUCUCUGUUAUCUCCGAGACCAGAUCCAAUCGGCCCACCCCUCCUAUCCCCUCCAUAGCCAGCCACCGUCGCGAUUUGGAGGCCUCCGACCAGAUCUUCCUCCCAACCACGACUUGGGAGGCGUGGCCCCCGGCUUUGCUGGCGUGCUGGCCGUCGAGCGAGCCCCACCACGGUGACAAGCCGACCACCACCACCUUCUCCUUCCUGUCCUCCGGCCAGAUCCACCUGGUGCCCCUCCGACGAGCUUGACGCCCAUAUCCAUUCCGAGCAAGCGUUGUGGUCUUGCAAAUUUAGUGCGACUACCUACAGGCCGGUGUGGUGGAUCUUGGAUCAUGUAUAACUCCAGCCAUGCAAUUUUGUUGUCGGUGUCAUCAAUUUUUCAUAAUUUGUUUGUUUCUUCCAGCUCUCCUCUCCACCAGCAUAUUCCUGUCUUUCUUUUUAUAAAACUCCUGUGCUACUACGAUGGAUCUUGGAUCUUGUAGAAUGCCAUCACUUGCGACUUUUGUUGCCGGUUGUUCGAUGAUAUGGAUUUGUGCUACAGGUUGGAGACCUCAGAUUUUAUUUUCUGGUCUCCCUUGUAUUCUCGUCUGUGCAUCCCUCCGGCCGCUGCUGUCAAAGGAAAUUGAUGCAUGUACGUGCUCUCGUGUGUGCAUAUCCAGAUUCUUCGUGUGUGCAUAUCCAGAUUCUUGUAUGCCUUGUAUACCUUUCUGUUAGUUGAAGUGAACAACUUUUUAGUCAUCUAAUUCAAAUGUUACUCAACAGUGAGGAACUAUUUA